UAUCCUCGCAUGUAUAUGCAAUUUCGUCCAUACAGCGCUUAUCCUUCGUGUUUCUCUUCUUACGCCGCUUCUUUUUCCUCUUCCUCUCACCAUAUACUUCUUCCUCUUCCUCCCACCGUCGUUGGUGUUCGUGCUUCUUCCUCCUUUUUUGCUUAUCAUUCGUCUUCCUCUGUGUUCGUGUUGUGGUUGUUGCUGUUGGUGGUUAUUGGUCUUCAUAGCAGAGUUCUUCUUCUCCUUCGUUGGGUAAUCUUCUUCGAGGUAAGUGGUCUGUUUCCUCUUAAGUCAUUUUUUUUUUGAAGUGUUGAAUGAUUAUUUCCUUUUUAUGAUAUUGCUGCAUGAUUGUAUUGUUUUAUGUUAUUGGUUUUUGUUGUUUGUUGUUGUUGGUCUUGGUUUUUUUUUAAGCUUUGUCAGACAAAAUGACGUGUUGUGAGAAAAAAACCCAUAUAGAUUAUCAAUUUGUAUGGUUUUUUUUUUACUUUUAUAAAUUAUUUAAAAAAAAAUUCUUUUUAUUUUUGGUAAAAUUUAUUUAAGUUAUUAUUAAAAAUAAUUAUUUUUUUAUUGUUGGUAAAUUUUUGUUAAUAUUUUUAAAAAAGUUUAUUUUGUGUUGUGGCCAUCCGUAUGGUAUUUUUUUUAAUUAAAAAAUAACAAACUGGAAAUUAUAUUUAAAUUUUUUUUGUUGCAAUUAAAAAAAAUUCAUGUGAGUUAUUUUUAAAAUUUUGUUAAUAGUUGUUAUGAAUCAUAAAAAUUAUUUUAGUUAUUUAUUAAAAUUUAAUUAGUGUUAUUGUCAUACAGAUUUGAUAUGGAUUGGUUCUAUAUAAACCACACGGAUCAUUGACCGUAUGAGAUUUUUAUAUUAAUUACAAAUAAUAAACUGGAAAUUAUGCUUAAUUUUUUUUUGCAUUUUUGUAAAAAUUCUUGAGUUAUUUUUAAAUUUUUAUAAAUGUUGUUAUGUAUGGUAAAAAAACUUGUUGUAUUUUUAUUAAAAUUUAAUUAAUGUUUUGGCCAUACGAAUCCAUAUGGUAUUUUUUAUAAAAAACAUUAAGUUUUUUUUAAAAUGGUGUUAUGUUUGGUAAAAAAAAAAUGUAGUUUAUUUUUUUGAAAUUUAUUUUUAUUUUUAUUGAUUUUGUUAAAAAAAAUUAGUGAAGUAUUUUCUAGUGUAUUGUAAUCAUUUGUGAAUUUUAUCAUGAAUUGAAAUUUUAUUAUGUAUGGACUUAUUUGUUUAGUCUUCCUUUCAUAUAAUUUGGUUAGUUUUGUUUAUUUAAUUAUGCAUGAUAAUCUAAGAUUAGAUUACCUUUCCCACGUAAGAUUAGAUUAGAUUUCCCAACUUGAGACUAAGAUUAGAUUAGAUAAGAUUUCCAAAACUAAGACUAUAUUUAAAUUAAUUAAAAUUUGUUAGUUAUAAAAAUAAUUCAAUUGAACAUUAUAACUAAUUGAAAAUUAUUAUACAAAAUAUUGAAAGANNNNNNNNNNNNNNNNNNNNNNNNNNNNNNNNNNNNNNNNNNNNNNNNNNNNNNNNNNNNNNNNNNNNNNNNNNNNNNNNNNNNNNNNNNNNNNNNNNNNUUUGUAGUUAUUAAAAAUGAUUGAAAUCAAAUAUUAAAAUAUAUUCAUUUUGGUAGUUUUAUUACUUAAAAAAUUGACUUUUAAUACUUUUAAAAUAAUUUUAAUUUUGUUAGUUACUUUAAACAUUAUUGAAAUAAAAUUUAUUUUAUUACUUUUAAAAUUUUUUGAAACAACCAUUGAAAAUAAUUUAAAUUAAGUUUAAAACAAUUGUUGAAAACAAAAUUUAAAAAUAUAUUUUUCAUUUAAAAAUGAUUUAAAUAAAAAUGUAAAAGAUUUUAAAAAGUUAGUAAAAAAAAUAUUGUAACAUUGUUCAAACCAAAACUGAAAAAUGAUUGAAUGAAAAAUUCAAAAUAUUUUGACAUUUUUAGAUAUUAAAAAAUGCUUUAAGAAAAUAUUCAAAAUAAUUAAACAUGUGAAAAAAUGAUUGAAUAUAAAAAACACGAUAAGUUUUGUGCAGAUAAUGGUUAGAACUAGAGGUCUCGGUCGUGCUUUAUGCCGAGCAAUAAGAAAAGUCCUGGGUGUUACUCUCUCUUAUGGAAGAACGGUAAGCAUGUCUCACAUUGUAAAUUUGUUUGAUUGUUGUAUAAUUAUUGUCAUUGUACUCCUUCAAGGUCAACAAAAUUUUUCUUGGCUUCACCAUGGACUUCGUCUUAUCAGCAACAACAAUCUUCUCAUCCUUUAUUAGUCGACCCACAUAUGGAUGUCUAACUAAUGACUUUGUCAUUUCAUGAUUGUGAAUCUCACAAAUUAACUUUGCCAUCUAUCCUUCUCUUCCCAAAAUUGGUUUCACACACAACUUAAACGGACAUCCACAUUUUCUACUGCUAGUGCAUGUUUUUACCAAAUUAUGUUUCUUAGGCCUAUACUCACCACUUCUUUCACAAGCUAUCAACAAAAAUAUGGCUCUUCCUCGAACACCAGUAUUGGUGUCUGACCUUAUUAUAACGACAACAAAUCCAAUUUCAUGAGCUAACGAUUGAGCCCAAUGUAAAACUUCAUCACGGCUAGCAAACAACCAAAACACAAUCAAAUAAGGAAGGUCUGGCAUGAGUAAACAUCCAUGUAAUAUAAUUAUUGUACCAACAACAACAAAUUACAUAAAUACCUGAAAAAUAUUAAAGGCAUUAGAAUAAUCAACGUGUUCUAUUUUAACGUCAACAUCUUUCUCAUUUUCAACAUUCAUAUCAGCUUCUUCAGACAUCAUACUAUUAUACCCACUGGUCUUUGUCCAUCUUAAUAAAACAUUUAACAAAUUCAAUUCAAUGACGAAAAAAUAUACAAUUACCUCAUUUGUUAUUGGCACAAAUAUAGUUGUUUACAAAAAAAAUAAAAUUUACUACACAUUUUCAUUAAAAUGUCAUAUAAACCUAAUAAAUACAUCAUUCAAUAAAAUACAUAAUUCAAUUAAACAUGUAAAUACAUAAUCAUUGUCAUAUAAAUUUGUUUAAUUAUUAAUUUUUAAGCAAUAUAAUGUUAGUUAAUUAUUAAUCAUUAGCAUUUUUUUCACCAUUCUAAUUACUUAAUACAUUUUUAUAUCACUAUAAAAAAUAAUAUCACCAAAUCAAAUUUUCUGAAAUUACUAAAAGUAGUACAAAAAAAAUUAAAAAAUUAAUAAUAAUUAAAUUAACAAUAUUUAAAUUGCAAUUUAAUAAAUAAAAUAAAAAAAACAAUUUGUAUGUUCAUACGGACUACUAAUCCGUAUGAACCAUACAGAUUGACAAUCCGUAUGAACCAUACGAAUUGUCAAUCCAUAUCUGUUUAUACGGAUUGACAAUUCUUAGGUUCGUAAAUUUUUUUUCGUGUACCUCUUUUUCUUGGGCGACGAAAACCAACAAAAAUUCACCGUAUACUCCUAAAAAAUACACAUACACCAUCGGAGAUCAAAUACGCUUCGAAAUCGACCUUAAUGGAAGCAACUUACACUAAGUGACGGAGAUUUUGUGAAAAGAAAAUGGCGCUGUGGAAAUGAAAAACUCCUCCUGCUAUUUGUAACCGAAAAUACCCAUGGCAUUUUUGAAAAUUGCUGGGUACCCCAGAAAAAAUGCUGGGUGCCCCAAGCAAUUCCCCUCAGGUAUUUGUUUCCUGCACGAUCCAGCACUUUCCAUUAUAUUUAGAAAAGCCCAUUCCAAAUGCAUUAGGAGAUGCAGGAUAAAAAAAAAAUUGCAGGACUCAAAUACCGCCAACUCAUGUGGGAUGUAAAAGACCUCAGAUUUCAAGGUUGGGCUUUUAAUAGAUGAGUUUGGGCUUGACCCUUGCAGUGUCACUGAUGCCGACUUUAAAUUAGCCUUUCAGGAGAGCAAUGGCUUUUUUCUUCUUUUUUUUUGUUACAAAGGCCGUGUAAGAAUGGUAGGAAACCGUACGACUAGGGCAUUUAUUUCCUACAUUCCCGUAAUGUUUCCUGCACCUUAUUGCAUUCGAAAUGGAUUUCUAGAAUACAUGUGAGCUAGACAUAUAGUAGUAGACUGCAAAAUACAAUGGUCUAGAGUAGUGGUUUAAUGAGUCUAGUCGAUUUGGGCAAUUUAGUUUUAUUUCUGUAAAAAAAUACUUUACUCUAACUUAACUCAUUUAUUUAAAUAAGUCUAACUUUAACUUGUUAAAUUAAACUAAAGUUUGAACUUGACUUGUUUGUUUAGCUCAUUUUACUUAAUGUUUUUAAAAUUAUUUUUAACUUUAUCAAUUUAGCAUUCAAUAAAACAUUAAAUACUAGAUAAUAAUCUACAAAUAGAAAUAUAUGUUAAACAUACGAUAUGAUAUUGUAGGAUCUAUAUGAUAAUAGAUGAUAGGUUUGUCUUGAUUUUGGUAUUAUUUUUUAAAUUUUUUUAUAGUAUGCUAUUUAUUUUAAUUGUUACACUGCCCCCCUUGUUCAAAAAAAAAUAUUUCUUUAAAUAAAUGUAAAUAAUAAUACAAUAUUUUUUUUUGUAAAAAAAAAUUACAGAAUAAAUUUCCUGUUGUUCAUUUUUUCAUAAUAUUUUAAAAUUAUUUACUUAAAAAUUUAUAUCCGUUAAAAAUUAUUAUUUUAAAAGAAGAAUUUAAAAUAAUUUUCAAGUGAUCUUUAUUAAAAAUUUCAAAAGUGCCACAUGUUAAGCUUAAAAAUUCUGUGUCAAUUAGUAAAUAAACUAAAUUUAGCUUUAAGUUUGCAAUACAGAUGUAACCUUUUUCACCCCAUUCGUCCUUGUUAGCAUAUUGAAAAUAUAACAAGUUAACAAUAGUAAUAUAAUAGCGUUUAGUAUAUUGAAAUUAUUAAAUUUUAUAUGUUCUACAAUAUAAAAUAUUCACAUUGUCAGUAUAUUUAAUUAAAAUCUAAAUAGAUGUGAAUUUUAUAAUUAACAAAAAUAAAAUUAAAAAAUAAUAAAAAAGCAAACACAGCCUAUCUUUCUUCUAUUAAUAUAUUUCUUUUAUUUUACUUCUAAGAAGUGAAAAAACAAUAUAGACGAUGAGUGGCCGCCAUGAGAUUCAGAAUAUAUGGAUGAGCUCUCUACUUUGGUACAUUGAUUUUUAUUCUUUUAUGAACUACUUUUUUUUUUAUAAGUUUUAUGAACUACUUUUAUUAUCUCAGUUUAACAUAAUUAAUUUUUAAAUGUACCCAGGUCAAUGUAAGAGAUUUAUCCUUAAAAUUGAUUUUUUUUUUUUUUAAAAAAACUUUAUCAAUACACAAAAUCACAACUGACCUUUUCCAUCCAAGCAUUUUCCUUUCCCAACAUGUAUUUGUAAAACUUGUGGAAACAGAAGUAUGAUAAAAUAAUUUUUAAAAAAGUUUAAUAAAUUUUAUAAUUUUUUUGGCAAUAAAUUAUUGUUUUCUAUUAAGCAAUUACGUUUCAUGUCACGUCAUAAUUUAUUUAAACAUAAGCGUUUUCUUAGAAAUCCAAACUCAAGCUUCUCAUUAAAUUAAAGCUCACCACUUAAUCAAUGCUUUUGACACUUUUUAAUUCUUUUAUUACAUUCUAUCUUAACCAUUUGUAACAAUGCUCUCGUUAUUCUCGUCAAUUUUUAUUUAAUGAGAAUAAAAAAUUAAAUUUAUUAGUCAUUACACGAAAGUCUCAAUUUUUCUUAUCUUUACAAAUUACAUAUUCUGUGUUGCACUUGAAAAAUAAAAUAUACAAAAGUGGGAGUCCAAGAAAAUGAUGGCUCUCGUUGUGCAAACAUUAGUUGGAAAGAAUUUUUCCAUAGAUCCAAUCCAAGAGCCUACGCCCAGAAAUUUUUUAUUGUAAUAAUCACAUGAAAAUCUAGACUUUUGACCACUUUUUUCAUAAAGUCCAAACCCAUAUGUACAAACAAGGAAAGAUCAAACAAGAGUAUAUUUGUCCUUAAAGAUUAUACUUUCCCUCCAAUAUGAUUCUUUCCACUUCUUUUUGACUACCACUCCCCCCCAAGUCCAAGAUACUCAUUUUCUUUCCAGAAUAAUGAAGGAACAAAAGGUCAAUUGGUUCACUAUGGGCUCACACUUCAGUUCAAAUGUUUCGCUUUCUCAUUCAAAAAAAAAACACCAUCCAGAUCCCCAAGAGUAAAGUGUGAGACCCCAUAUGGCAUUAACUUUGCCUUUAGUUUUUUUAACCUUUUUACAAUGUACAAAACAUCUAUAAUGCUACUAACACCACCUUGAUUGAUCCUCCUAUUCCCCCAUUGCCAAAAUUUCUUCUCCCUCCUUACACAUUCCCAAAACAAAAGGCUCAAAUUCUGUUUUUGUUGUUCUUUUCUGCGGCAAUAGAGAGAAGCCUUGAAACACCUUGAGUCCACACAUCAUAUUCUCUCUGAUUUCUGCACUCAAAUUCCACAAGACCACGCAUCACUGUUUUCAACCCAAAGUAGCGGCGAUCCUCACCACCUUCAAGCAAGUGGCGACCAGGCCAAGCAGGUACAUCUUUGAUCACUUCAAGCACCACAUCUGUGAAUGAAUUCAAAAGAAUGGAUAUUAAAUAUUUGGAUUAAAGAAGAACCAACACUUUUGAUCUUUCACAACUUUAGUAGCUAUGACUUUCACAAAUCCCCAAAACGGAACAAGACCCACCUCCAAAUCUGUUGUCAAAUAAUUAGAGUUUGGAGCAAGACAAAACUAAUGAAAACUCACUCUUUUUCUUUUUUGUGAUGGUCCCAGCAACGUGCCUGCUCUUCAUUUUCAAUAUAACCUUCACAAAAAAAAAUAAAAAAUUAAAACUUCAAAAAAGAGUUAAAGGUUGCAGUUUUCUAAGGAACCAAAGUAAGCUAGAUCCCCUCACUCCAUCAUACAAAAGGCCCCCACCUCUUAACUUUUUCCACAAUCAUGUUUACAGCAUAUCAUUAGACAGUUUUAAUACCAAUCGAUGCCCAAAUAAUUACGUGGUUAGUUAGUUAUCCUCUGAAAUCAAAAGUACAUCAUUCUGGAACAUGGGUGAAAAAUAAUAAACUCACCUGAUUCAUCCUGUUUACAUACACAGAUACAACCUUCCAAUGAAGAUCACCUGCACACAAUUCUCUCAUCAGAUAAAAUCCCUUUCCAUUGACUAAACCCCAUAAUCCUAAAAAUAUACUAAGCCAAGCAAAAAAUAACUACAACUUCUUUCUCUCCAAGACAAACAUAAUAACAUAGGAAGGUAAAUCAUAUACACCUUUGCGUGUGCGUUUGAGGAGUUCACAACCUCUGGCUAAUAAUUCUCUACUGCAUAUACCCAAGAAAUUUUCUUCAGGGACAAGUUCACCGCUGAAGCUACUCUUAGAAUUUCCAUUACUUGCGUUAUUGUUGUUAUUAUGUCCACCAGCUACUGCCAAAUUUUUCUCCACAGGAAUCACUGCUGCAAUAUUCCACACUUCCUUCAGGGCCCUCGCUUUCAAUGUCGCAGCCCCACGCAAAGCUGCAAUUCAAUUCCAAACCACAAAAAAAACACGCGCCAAAAAUAUCAACACACAAAAUUUUCCAUUUUUUCCCAUCAAAAUUCACACAAAUUUCGCAGAACAGAAUGUUCCUUCAACAUGUCAUUCACACUUCAUUAUCAUAACUUAACCCGUACCUGUGGCAGCCGCAGCAGUCAGAGUCAUAAUGUCACCGGCGGAUCUCACAUUCACGGAGGAGCUAACCACCGACGCAAGGUGCUCACGCUCCGCCCCCAAAGCCUCCGCCGCCUCCACGCACUGCGCCGCCACCAGCGUCGCUGCCGACGCCACCGCCAUGUCGGUCUUCGCCAUCUGCUCAUCCUUACCAGCCCCGGACGUGGCGGCGGUGGCUGCAGCAAUCGCGGCUAUCGCCGCAGCAACUCCGGCCACCGACACCGCCGCGUGGAGCUGAGCAUUGUGCGCCCUGGUCUCCUCUUUCUUCUUCUCCUUCCUGUCCUUGAGCCACCUCCCCACCGUCUUCCCGCCGCCAGGCGCGGCGGCGGUCGCGGUGGUUCUGAAAUUAAGACUUAAACUGCUGGCGAUGUUGUUGGCGCGGGUGUACUGCAAGGAGGAUUUCGUAGAAGCCAUUGACACAAAACGGAAGACAAAAAAAAAAAAUACAACAUAAGACAUUAACAAAUUAAUCUUAAAAAUAUUCGCUUGUUGUGUCCUCCACCAAGACAAAGGUUGUAAGUAACUAUUCGUACAACGUGAAUGACAUUGUCACGCACGCGUAGGUUAAACUUACCACCGGCGUAUGUAACAUUAAUACGGCAAGGUAAGAGGGACUAAGUUUGAUGCAGUGCCUUUGCGUAGCUAAAUUUGGAUUUUCAAGGACAGUUAACAGGUGCUACUCAACGUUGCUGUUCUAACUAAUUUUGUAGUAACCAAUUAGAAGAAAGCCUAAAAAUAGAGGAUCAAUUCAUCUUUCACACGCUUUCUGUUCAACUUAAUCAUCCCAAAAUAAAUUCUUAUGUUCAAUGAUUAUUUAAUUUAGUUGGAGGGAGAAUGAUGAUUAAAUUAAAGGGGGUUUGGUUUGCUUUUCUUUGGAUAAAGAGAAAGUUGAGAGACAUGGUUGGUUAUAACCGAGUGAUGAUGUUUUGGUUUAUUAUUUUUAUUUUUAUGGUGCAGGAGGUAAAAAGUAAAAGAAGG
rnacentral:lncRNA from 1 species